CGACCCAGUCACAUGGAACUGAGACCGGUCCGAUCCUACGGGGCAGCAGUGGAGGAAAUAUGGCCAUGGCGAAGCUUGACCAGCAACGCGCGUGGAGGAUGAAGGCUCUAGGGUGUAAACUCUUUUGUGGGGAAAAGAGAGGAUGGUACCCCAAGAUAAGUCACGGCUAACUACGUGCCAGCAGCGCGGUAAUACGUAGGUGACAAGCGUAUCCGGAAUUACUGGGCGUAAAGCGCACGCAGGCGGUAAGAUAAGUCUGAUGUGAAACGUCUGGCUUAACCAGAAGACGUCGUUGGAUACUGUUUUACUUGAGGCGAUGAGAGGAAUGCGGAAUUCUCGGUGUAAUGGUGGAAUAUGUAGAUAUCGAGAGGAACAUCUGAGGCGAAAGCGGCAUUCUAGCAUUAGCCUGACGCUCAUGUGCGAAAGCGUGGGGAGCAAACGGGAUUAGAUACCCCGGUAGUCCACGCCGUAAACGAUGAAUACUAGGCGUAGGGGGAGUCAAAUCCUUCUGUGCCGAAGCCAACGCAAUAAGUAUUCCGCCUGGGAAGUACGGCCGCAAGGCUAAAACUCAAAGGAAUUGACGGGGGCCCGCACAAGCAGCGGAGCGUGUGGUUUAAUUCGAUGCAACACGAAGAACCUUACCCAGGU
rnacentral:rRNA from 1 species